CCUACGGGUGGCAGCAGUGGGGAAUAUUGCACAAUGGGCGCAAGCCUGAUGCAGCCAUGCCGCGUGUGUGAAGAAGGCCUUCGGGUUGUAAAGCACUUUCAGCGGGGAGGAAGGCGUUAAGGUUAAUAACCUUGGCGAUUGACGUUACCCGCAGAAGAAGCACCGGCUAACUCCGUGCCAGCAGCCGCGGUAAUACGGAGGGUGCAAGCGUUAAUCGGAAUUACUGGGCGUAAAGCGCACGCAGGCGGUCUGUCAAGUCGGAUGUGAGAUCCCCGGGCUCAACCUGGGAACUGCAUUCGAAACUGGCAGGCUAGAGUCUUGUAGAGGGGGGUAGAAUUCCAGGUGUAGCGGUGAAAUGCGUAGAGAUCUGGAGGAAUACCGGUGGCGAAGGCGGCCCCCUGGACAAAGACUGACGCUCAGGUGCGAAAGCGUGGGGAGCAAACAGGAUUAGAUACCCGAGUAGUC
rnacentral:rRNA from 1 species